ACUCUACCGCCGCCACAUGGCUUCCGCAACAGGUUCUGAAUUGACUCCAACACGACCAAUGCGGGCGUAAAAUUCCAGGCUUUGAUGUCAUUUAACUUUAGUAGGACUGCUUCAGCCGAUUUGGAGUAUCUGGAAAGAUUGUGUUGUAAUUGCUAAAGACUUCUGGUGGAACGCUGUCAAUUGGUUUUUCUGUUACGAAGAUUACAUGUUUGUUCCCAGUAGCAUAUCGUAUGGCGGUCUGCAAAAAAAGUAAAAAUUUUAUUAUGAUAUUUAAGAAUCCUCUAUUUUAAUAGCAUGAUUGACAUUUGACCAUACAACCACGUACAACAAAAUUGCACCAAAAGGCUACCUAUCACGCCAAAUACAUUGAAAAUGCUCGUAAUACGAAUAGCCUAUGAAACCAUUUUAAUCAUCUAGAUUGAUAAUAUAUAUCACGAUAAAGAAGAACUUGUUGCCAAUCCCCAUACAUUCAAUUUUCUUUCUUUACUUUAACACGAUAUUUAUUAUGAUAAAUGGCUUAACCUGAAAAGGUUCAGUUGAGUUUGAAUGGGCUUUCAUCGGAUGUCUAGUUCAAAAAUUUUCAUGAUUAUAAUAUACCGAAUCACGAA